AUCAAGAGAAACGAGAUUCAAGUCGUGAUCGAGGGAAAAACAAAGUUUACGAGGAAUAGGCUCGAUUGUUAAAAAUUUUGUACCGAGUUUUGAACAAGCCGGCUUAGGAAUCGGGACAGGUCGAAGGUUCGAUCACACUAUCCGAAGGACUCUUUUUGGUAAAUGGCUUGUAAAACUUAAGUAUGGCAUGUAUAGCAAUACACCUAUUUUGUGUAAAUAAUUUUUUGAUAUGGCCAUGAUUUGGUUGAGAAAAUGCUUAAUAAUGAUAAGUCAUGGAAAAUGCUAAGUUAGAUCAUGUUUGAUGUCAUGGAAGUUUAAUAUGUUAUCUAGAUCAUAAAAACUCAUGAAAAGAUGAAAUUUGCCAUAAA